ensembl:lncRNA uncharacterized LOC114470926
GGUUAUUGUGUGAUGUAUAUAGGCUAACAGGACGUGUGUAUUAACAUGACCCCCCCUCCCUGAGGCUGACGAUGGUUCCGUCCAAACAUUCACCCUUUUAGCGGGAAGUGAAACAUAAAGAAAGACGGAGAAAGUUCUACUGAAAUGAGGUCAUCAAAGGUCAGAGGAAAUAAAAAGCCUCCAGUGAAGAACAGGGUGAACAAGGCCUCCCCUGAUGAACUCUGGAACGUUCCUCACACGUCUGUGACAGACACAGACACUUUGUUGGAGGAAGUGAAGCUGAAGUGUGGUGAGCCCCUCCUACACAGCACAGCCCUGGAGGAUGACCUGAUUAGGUCUGAGGAUGGAGCUGCUGCUGUGGAGGAGCUCAGAGUAGAGUUACCUGUGGAGAAGAAGAAGAGGAGGAGUCAACCUGCUCCUACUGUCAGCACACGAUUGGUUGGAAAGAAAGCAGCCAAUGGGAGGAGAGCAGAACACGCUCUAAAGUCAGCCACCAAUCAGCGAUCAAUGAAGGACAACCAAUCAGGUUCCUCUACCAGAGGCCCUCAGCCAGUGGAGAAAAGCAGAUCAAAACGUGUGAGAUCUGAUGAAGAGGAUGGAGAUGAUGAUGAAGAUCACAGAGAGAAACCCUCCUCAGGUAAGAGCUGCAGUAGACUCAGAACCUGCAAGUGCUCAGAGCAGCUGAACCUGAUGUGUGUGGAUUGGUCAGGAGGAGGUUCCUCAGAGGAGGAGGGGGGAGGAGCAGAGAUGAGGAGGAGGAGGAAGAAGACCUGUGUAUCAGAGUUAGACAGGCUUGUGGAGGCGUUCCAUCACUUCUGUGGCCUCUACAGGAAGGACGUGGAGUCCCCACAAGACCAGCACAACAUCCUCACACUGUGUGAGAACGUCACACAGCUACUGACGGAGAGGGUCUCAGCAUCUCAGGAACUCAGAGCUCUCAAAAGAGGCAACGCUAAGACAGCUUCUAUGAUCCGCUCUAAGAUAAAACGACUGUUGGAUGGAAAACAUGAGCUGAUGAAUACGGAGCUGAUAGUGUGGCUGCUCUGCUGCUGGAGACCAGGAUCCAUGACAGACCUCCACCACCAGGGGGCGCUCACACCUCUGCAGGAAACCUUCACCUAUAGUCACAUGAUCAGUUCAGCUGAUCAAUAAAACAUGUUAGAGCACUUCCUGUCUGAUUCUCCCUUUGUUACACUAACUAAUAAUCAACCAAUCACAAGCUAGCUUUGUGUCCCGCCCCCUUCCUCUGAUUGGCUGAGCGUGUGUGUGUGUUUCUGUGUGUGUGAUUUAGUUCAUAGUUCUACACACUACACACAGGUAAGAUCUCUGUGUGUGUGUGUUAUAGAGUCAAUGUGUGUGUGUGUUAUAGAGUGAGUGUCAGUGUGUGUGUUAUAGAGUCAAUGUGUGUGUGUGUGUUAUAGAGUGUGAGUGUCAGUGUGUGUGUGUUAUAGAGUCAAUGUGUGUGUAUGUUAUAGUGAGUGUGUGUGUGUUAUAGUCAGUGUGUGUCAUAGAGUCAGCGUGUGUGUGUUAUAGUCAGUGUGUGUGUGUUAUAGUUAGUGUGUAUGUGUUAUAGUCAGUGUGUGUGUGUUAUAGUCAGUGUGUGUCAUAGAGUCAGUGUGUGUGUGUGUUAGCCAGUGUGUGUGUGUUAUAGUCAGUGUGUGUCAUAGAGUCAGUGUGUGUGUGUGUUAGCCAGUGUGUGUGUGUUAUAGAGUCAGUGUGUGUGUGUGUCAUAGAGUCAGUGUGUGUGUUAUAGUCAGUGUUUGUGUGUUAUAGUCAGUGUGUGUCAUAGAGUCACUGUGUGUGUGUGUGUUAUAGUCAGUGUGUGUCAUAGAGUCAGUGUGUGUGUGUGUGUCAUAGAGUCAGUGUUUGUGUGUUAUAGUCAGUGUGUGUCAUAGAGUCACUGUGUGUGUGUGUGUUAUAGUCAGUGUGUGUGUGUGUUAUAGUCAGUGUGUGUCAUAGAGUCACUGUGUGUGUGUUAUAGUCAGUGUGUGUCAUAGAGUCAGUGUGUGUGUGUGUGUGUUAUAGUCAGUGUGUGUGUGUGUUAUAGUCAGUGUGUGUCAUAGAGUCACUGUGUGUGUGUGUGUUAUAGUCAGUGUGUGUGUGUGUUAUAGUCAGUGUGUGUCAUAGAGUCACUGUGUGUGUGUGUGUUAUAGUCAGUGUGUGUGUGUUAUAGUCAGUGUGUGUGUGUUAUAGUCAGUGUGUGUGUGUGUUAUAGUCAGUGUGUGUCAUAGAGUCAGUGUGUGUGUGUGUGUUAUAGUCAGUGUUUGUGUGUUAUAGUCAGUGUGUGUGUGUUAUAGUCAGUGUGUGUCAGAGUCACUGUGUGUGUGUGUGUGUUAUAGUCAGUGUGUGUGUGUGUUAUAGUCAGUGUGUGUGUGUUAUAGUCAGUGUGUGUCAUAGAGUCAGUGUGUGUGUUAUAGUCAGUGUGUGUGUGUUAUAGUCAGUGUGUGUCAUAGAGUCAGUGUGUGUGUGUGUGUUAUAGUCAGUGUGUGUGUGUGUUAUAGUCAGUGUGUGUGUGUUAUAGUCAGUGUGUGUGUGUUAUAGUCAGUGUGUGUGUGUCAUAGAGUCAGUGUGUGUGUGUUAUAGUCAGUCAGUGUGUGUGUGUGUGUAGCCAGUGACAGGGUAGAGAGAAAGAGAGAGAGGGUUGAUCACUUAUUUUCCUUCUUGCUCUGCUUUUAUGGUUUAAAUGAUGAACUUACAGAGAUAUUAAAGGCUUAUUUCACUCAGAAUGUGUUAUGAUCAAUAUUUACUAUGGUUUUCCAGAAAUUAACGCUUUAAUUUUGCCCCGAUAAUAUGAGGAAGUCGUACAGCCUCCACAGCAGCCGUCUGCAGUGUAGCGGGAGGGAACUGGGAGGAGCUACAGCCUCCGCUCUACAUUACAUUAUUCUGGACAUGUUCAGACUGGGUCAGGUUUUCUUUUAUUGAUCUGAUUAAAGCUCUUGGUUCAGUCUAAAUGAGCAGUGCCCCCUAUUGUUCAAUCAGAGUAUUGAAGCACAGGCUGUGCUGGAUCCAUUGAAUCAUCUAUUAUUUACAUUCAUUGAGGAGAUAUUCUUGCAUCUCUAAUAACAUACGUAGUCCUCACCAUAUAUGAUUGAUUGUGUUUCUAUCAGUUAUUUAAUGAACAUAAACAUUAAUAAAUGAUGACUUCAUACAGAGCUGAUGAAUAUG